UAUAUACUAAAACUGAACAAGUGAGUAAAUAUACUGUAAAUAAUGACAGCCAGGUUUCUCACUGUUGGUGAAAGAAAUUACAAAUAAGGAAAUAUUGGAGGCUAGAAUGAAUCUUGUGGUGUUAGGCUGGAAUUGGGGUGUUAAUGUGUGCACAUGGUUUUUAAUAGAAAGAUACAUAAAUACAUACGUACAUAGGUACAUAGAUACACAGAUACCAAUGACUGUAUAUUUCCUAGCCCUGUCUUCUGAGCAGGAAGUAAUGACAUCUCAGUAGCAAUGAGGACACCUAGCUCCCAGAUCUUGGUGAAAAGGACCCAGGAAAUAAAAAGGAACCAGGACUCCCUGGAGAAAUGGCCAACUGAACAAGAACUGAUUGAAAUGGCCAAUUAAAAGGAUAAGGUGAAUCUAGAACAUCUUGUGGUACUGGGAAAUAAUGAAGUGUUCAAAAAAAUGAUUGAUACUUGUCAAAAGAACACAAGAACCAAUUUGAAGGGGCUCCCAAUGACCAAAUCCAGUACAAUACAUAAUAAUAGUUACGGAUUAUAGCCUAUAAAAUAAAAGAAAUAUCCAUGAGUCCAUACUGACAUUAAAAUUGAAUAAGUGGGAAAGACACACCCCUUCUUUAAUGAUAGAAUUCCAAUGACUAAAUAUUGAAAGAGUGAUGGAAUUAGAAAAUUACCAUUUGGUAAACAUCACAGUAAUAAUUUUUACUGACAAGAAUUAUCAAUGGAUGCUAAAUGUGGUGGGCAAAGGUGUGGUGAAUGGGAUAUUGGCUUAGACUUACGUACAGAAGUUUCCCACCAAGAUACUUACUAGUUACAAAGGGAAAAGGAGUGACUUUACAGUGGAGACACCAGGCGACUCUACCUUAACCAAGUGAAAAAAGUUAACAGUAGAAUCAGAGUGAGGCGUAGCGACAUCAUUUACCUCUUGAUUUCAUGCACUGAGAAAUUAUGACAUUUUUUCUGUGGCACUCUUGUCAAAAAUGCCUUCUUUCCUAAUUCUGAGAAAACAUCAGGCUAACCCAAACUGAGAGAUAGUCUGUAAAAUCUCCACAAUGUGAAAGUCAAGGAAACACAGAGACUGAGGGACUGUCACAGGUGAUCACACAGCAAUGAAAUAUGAUGAGGGAUUCUGGAUUGGAUCCCGGACCAGAGAAAAGACCCCUCCCCUCCUGAGCCAGUCCUUUGGUGUUGCUGCUGAUGGGGGCGUACCCGCUGUCUCAGGUCAGCCUUACAGAUGUGACCAAACCAGACAUGAUCUAUCGACUUUCAGUUUGCAUCAUCUGUUCUACAUUAUACAGACAAUAUGAUACCUAGUGAUGACCUGGAAUAGGAAGCAAAAAUAGUCCUUAAUACCAAAGGUACUCAUGAAUACAAGGAGCAAAACAAAGAUAUUGCACUGCGGAUGGUGUCAACAACAUUCUGCAACUCAGGGAAAAACAAUAGGAGAAGAAAAAUAAGAGGAAUUUGUGAAGGAAGAGAAUGUUUUCCAAUACCAACAAUCAAUUCUCUGGACACCAACUGGCUGUUCAAUAAUUGAGUUCAGUUCCGGCACUAACCACCUGGAGUUAACACAGACAUCACAGCUUAAGGGCUCAGCCCUGCAAGGCUGGCCCCCACUUCAAAUACCAGUCACAAGUCCCAGGGUUCCUGUACUUUUGACCAACCAGCCACAAGCUGGAAGUUCCCACAACUCCCUCGUAAGGUUCAAUAAUUUGCUAGAAAGGUUCACGAAACUCAGAAAGGCACUGUACUUAUGUUUACCAGUUUAUUAUAAAGGAUACAACUCAGUAAUAGUCAAAUGGGAGAGAUGCAAGGGACAGUGUGUGUGGGAGGGGUGCACAAAGCUUCCACACCCUCUCCAGGUGCACCACCGUCCCAGUACCUACAUGUGUUCACCAGCCUGAAAGGUCAUCAAAUUUCUGGUGAAAUGUCCAAAUAUUUUUUCCAAUUUGGGAGUGUGUGUUUGUUAUUACUGAGUUUUGAGUGUUCUUUAUAUAUUCUACAUAAAAUUCCUUUUUCAGAUGCGUGAUUUGCAAAUAUUUU